rnacentral:lncRNA from 1 species
AGAGGCCGGACCUGGGCAACCCCAGCCUGGAGGUGCCGGGGCCGGAGCUCCCAGAGGGCUGGGUGCGAGGCCUAGGCGGGGUCAGGUUCGGGUUCCUAGGCCAUAGCGGAGCUGCAGCCCAGGCGGCCGGAGCGGAACCCAGCCCCGCUCCGAGUGCCACGUCUCCAGGAACCCCCUCCUUACUCUUGGACAACACUCCGCCCCCGCCCGGGCCUCCGUCCCCCAAACCGCCCUCAUUUGUGCAGCGCCAGAUCCUUCGGACACAUCCCUAGGUGUCUCCAUCCUCAUUCGGUCCAUCCAACUCCCAGACCUCACGUCAACCGGCUGCACCCCACUUUCCAGCCUGCGCCCCAGAUCUGCAGCCUUCGCCCCUAGAUACACCCGCCUGGUGAUGAGGCGCUCCUCGCGUUCCUUCCGGUGUCCGUGAGCCUCCCUUCCGCCCUGGCCUCCGGUCUCUGCCUUGCUCGUGCUUCUACCACCACCCUUCCCCUCCCAACCCGGUGGAUCCUCUCGUCUCCCCCAGUCUCCAGUGCACCGGCUUUCCCUCGUCCUCUGCGCAGUCCAUCUCAGCUCAUCUCUCCAAUUCAAUGCCAUCAUCUCUCCUCACCAUCUCUCGGUGCCCUGGAAUGUUUGCUGUCAGAUGUCCCCUGUGAAACCCACAAACGCUUGCGAUUUGGCCUCCUUGUUUUAUUUUGUGUAGUCCUACAACGUCUUGUUACUACCCCCUAUUACAACACUUAUAACUCA